rnacentral:rRNA from 1 species
GACAGAGGAGCCAAGCGUUGUCCGGAUUGACUGGGCGUAAAGCGCACGCAGGCGGUCGCGCGCGUGGGGUGUGAAAUCUGGCCGCUUAACGGCCAGGCGCCAUCCCAUACGGCGCGACUGGAGUGAUGCAGAGGUCGAUGGAAUUGCCGGUGUAGCGGUGAAAUGCGUAGAUAUCGAGAGGAACACCUGCGGCGAAGGCGGGUUGCUGGGCUGAUACUGACGCUGAGGCGCGAAAGCCAGGGGAGCGAACGGG